rnacentral:rRNA from 1 species
UACAGAGGGGGCAAGCGUUAUCCGGAUUCACUGGGUUUAAAGGGUGCGUAGGUGGGCUAGUAAGUCCGUGGUGAAAUCUCCAAGCUUAACUUGGAAACUGCCGUGGAUACUAUUAGUCUUGAAUCUCGUGGAGGUAAGCGGAAUAUGUCAUGUAGCGGUGAAAUGCUUAGAUAUGACAUAGAACACCGAUAGCGAAGGCAGCUUGCUACACGAGUAUUGACACUGAGGCACGAAAGCGUGGGGAGCAAACAGG